rnacentral:rRNA from 1 species
AUUGAACGCUGGCGGCAGGCUUAACACAUGCAAGUCGAGCGGGGUGAGGUGCUUCGGUACUGAUCCUAGCGGCGGACGGGUGAGUAAUGCUUAGGAAUCUGCCAUUUAGUGGGGGACAACAUUCCGAAAGGGAUGCUAAUACCGCAUACGUCCUACGGGAGAAAGCAGGGGAUCUUCGGACCUUGCGCUAAAUGAUGAGCCUAAGUCGGAUUAGCUAGUUGGUGGGGUAAAGGCCUACCAAGGCGACGAUCUGUAGCGGGUCGGAGAGGAUGAUCCGCCACACUGGGACUGAGACACGGCCCAGACUCCUACGGGAGGCAGCAGUGGGGAAUAUUGGACAAUGGGCGGAAGCCUGAUCCAGCCAUGCCGCGUGUGUGAAGAAGGUCUUUUGGUUGUAAAGCACUUUAAGCGAGGAGGAGGCUACCUAGAUUAAUACUCUGGGAUAGUGGACGUUACUCGCAGAAUAAGCACCGGCUAACUCUGUGCCAGCAGCCGCGGUAAGAC